ACGACCAACAUCAGCCCACGACACCUUGCUUAGCCACACCCUCAAGGGACAUCAGCAGUGAUAGACAUUAAGCCAUAAGUGAAAACUUGACUUAGUUAAAGCUUAAAGAGCCGGUAAAACUCGUGCCAGCCACCGCGGUUAUACGAGAGGCUCAAGUUGACAGACAACGGCGUAAAGAGUGGUUAGGGAAAAUUUUAAAGACUAAAGCCGAACGUCCUCAGAGCUGUUUAACGCUUCCGAGUUAAGAAGAUCUUUAACGAAAGUAGCUUUACUAAACCUGACCCCACGAAAGCUGUGAAACAAACUGGGAUUAGAUACCCCACUAUGCUCAGCCCUAAAAUUCGAUAGGUCACUACGCCCCCUAUCCGCCCGGGUACUACGAGCAUCAGCUUGAAACCCAAAGGACUUGGCGGUGCUUCACAUCCGUCUAGAGGAGCCUGUCCUGUAACCGAUAACCCCCGUUAAACCUCACCCUCCCUUGUUAAUCCC
rnacentral:rRNA from 1 species